rnacentral:rRNA from 1 species
CCUACGGGAGGCAGCAGUGAGGAAUAUUGGUCAAUGGACGAGAGUCUGAACCAGCCAAGUAGCGUGAAGGAUGACUGCCCUAUGGAUUGUAAACUUCUUUUAUAUGGGAAUAAAAUGUUCCACGUGUGGGAUUUUGUAUGUACAAUAUGAAUAAGGCACGGCUAACUCCGUGCCAGCAGCCGCGGUAAUACGGAGGAUCCGAGCGUUAUCCGGAUUUAUUGGGUUUAAAGGGAGCGUAGGUGGAUUGUUAAGUCCGUUGUGAAAGUUUGCGGCUCAACCGUAAAAUUGCAGUUGAAACUGGCAGUCUUGAGUACAGUAGAGGUGGGCGGAAUUCGUGGUGUAGCGGUGAAAUGCUUAGAUAUCACGAAGAACUCCGAUUGCGAAGGCAGCUCACUGGACUGCAACUGACACUGAGGCUCGAAAGUGUGGGUAGCAAACAGGAUUAGAUACCCCUGUAGUC